UAAAACCCUUAUUUACAUUGGAAUUCAGUUUAAAUUGCUGCUUUAAUAUUUCCUGAGAAAAAUCCAGAUUAGAUUAUACAACAUAAACAUUUUGUGGGCGGGGCAAACUAACCUAUUUUUUUUUAAAGCUAGAAAUCUGAGUCAACUUUUUCUUGGGUAUGAGCAUUUUACCUGCAUAUGUGUAAGUGUUACCACAUGCAUGCCUGGGCAUUCAGAGGCCAGAGUUGAGUUGGAGUUUGAGAUGGCCUCUAUAUGGGUGUCAGUAACCAAACUUAGGUCCUCUGCAAGAGCAACAUGCACUCUUAAACCACUGAGCCAUCUCCAAAGAAUAAUAUAUAUUCUUACUAAUAGACCUACUGUUUCAUAUAUCAUUGAAAAACCUCCUAAGUUAAAAGCAGUAUAGGACAAGUUUGUGUCUAUAUGUUUAUACCCAGAUUGUUCACUUGUGAAGACAUUUAUUAAUCUUCCAGGAGUGUCUAAAUUUAAUUAAUUUGAGAUAGAUAGACACAAAUAAAUUCAUGUCUCCUGGUUUUUUUUUGUCUUUGUUGUGUUUGUUUAAGGAUUUUUUUUUUAUAUGAGUGCACUGUAGCUGUCUUCAGACACAUCAGAAGAGUGCAUUGGAUCCCAUUACAGAAAAGGUUGUGAGCCACUAUUUGGUUGCUGGGAAUUGAACUCAGGACCUCUGAAAGAGCACUUAGUGCUCUUAACCGCUGAGCCAUCUCUCCAGCCCUGUUUUGUUUUAUAAUAAACAUGUAAGCCUUUAGUCAGUGUCCCUCUGUGUUGUGUAUAAAGUCAUUUGAACAUAUGGAAAGAAUCUUUGGUGUCAAGAUUGCUUAGAAAGUUAGUGUUGUCUGCACUGUUGCUUUAUUUACCUUUGAACAUAAACAUACUGCUAGAAUUAGCAGGGAGAGGUGAUUAAUAGAUAAGGGAGUGAGUAUAUUUAAAAUAGAUAAUAUAUUCAAAUGCACUUAAAUCAUUAACGGAAGAAGUUGAAAGUUUGGAGUGUUGAAAUCAUUGGCUACUGUGUAUAAACCGAGUCUUUUUGUCUCGACCAGAAAUGGGUUCAGAAACUUGCCCAAAGUAAAGCAUCUCUAGUAAUGGGGAGAGCUUGUUUCCUACCAGGUCUUCACAUUCCAAAGCUUAGUUAGUUCACUGUUCUCCCUCAUUUUCAAAAAUGCCUCACCUACCUUUUGGGCCUUCUAAAAACUUUUCAGUAUAUUUUACAGAAAACAGAAUUGUUUUCAGACUUAAAUAUUUUCUAAAUAGAAUUUGCAUAGGAGAACAGAAUAGGAAUUUGAAAGUAAUCUUUUAUCCAUAGAAAGAAGUGGUCAUGUUCCUUUUUUAUGAAUCUUAAAUAUUGUUUAAAAAAAUGAAUGAGAGGACACUGAAAAAAGGGUUACUUGAUUUGACUCUGUUUAGCCUUAGAGACAAGACUGGUGACAUCAUCUCAGUGCCCCAUCUGCUUUUAUAUAAGCUCUUUUUUUUCUAGUCUUAAGAUCUAGAAUGUCAACACUUAUAUGGCUUUCUUACACUAAAAAUAUUUUAGUGUAAAUGUUUUUUCCUUUUCUCUUUUCCUUUCUUUUUUUGAGGGAACUAUAGGAAUCUCUAAUUUGAGUUCCUAUCUUCUGCUCUAAGUGGAAAAAUAAAUUGAAAAUAACCUGUAUAUAAUAUAAAUUUUAAAACUUGCAUAUUCAUAACUAAGGAUUUUUCAUUUGUCUUUCCAGGCUAAUAUCCCCUACCCGUGAGAAAGGGCUUUAGACCAAGAUGACCUCAGAGGGUCUGUGCUUUUGAUGACCUGUGUGCUAAGACUGUGUAAGAGAGCAUAUCACUCUUGGUCUUGGCUUUUUAGACAUCUUGUCAUGUCCUAGAACAUUGAUGUGAUUCAAAUGAUUCUUAAUUUUAUUUAUAUUUAUAUAUACAGAUGUAUAUAUACACAUAGACAUAUUCAUUUACCUCUGUUUACGUUCUCCUUCAACUUAGUAAACCACGGAUACUUAUGUAAUAGAGAAUUUUUCAUAAUAAAAUUUCCUUGAAGGCUUCCCAGGUUCUAAUUAACCACUGGCUACUAAUCUUCUAUAACUACUCUGUUGAGAAUAUUUACUGACCUAUGUUCUCUAAAGGUAUAAAAUUAUACUAAUUUACCUUUUCCUAUUUGGAGACAGUCUGUCUGAAAUUAAUGUUUAUCAAAAUUGGAAGUGUCUUAUGUUAGGAUAGGAGAGCUACAGAAUGGUGAACAACUUAAAACUGUGUCUUUUAAAAAAAAAAUCACAUAUAAUAAUUUCUUUUCCACAGAAUCCUACCUUGUAAUUUUUGUAAGCAUUCUUAUUUCUCAUCCAUCUAGAUUACAUAUUAGCAACUAAAAAAAGUAAGUGGAGAGAAUUCUUGAAAAAGUUUUUCCACUUUUUUUUUAUUUCUUCAGAACCUCUUUUUUUUUUUUUUCCCCUCUCUCCUCUCCUCAGUGAUCUGCAGUUACUGGGGCAUAAUUUGUGCUUGAGAUAGGAUCCCACAGCUUUGGGAGCUUUGCCUAGUAGAAACACUGACUUGACUGUGGGAAAUGGAGCUUGGUUGAUAGAAUCCCUCCCUUGGCCCAGUCCCUAUCACCACAUACAUAAACUUGAUAUUGUGGUAGACACCUACCCAGAGGAUGAAGCAGAAGCAUCAUUAUCACCACAUACAUAAACUUGAUACUGUGGUAGACACCUACCCAGAGGAUGAAGCAGAAGCAUCAUUAUCACCACAUACAUAAACUUGAUACUGUGGUAGACACCUACCCAGAGGAUGAAGCAGAAGCAUCAUUAUCAGGGUGAUCUUUAGAUACUUAGGAUGUUUGAGGCCAAUCUAGGUUACAUGAGACUAUUUCAAAACUAAUCUUCAUUAAAGAGAAGGGAAAGAACAGCCAAAGCCAGCCUUGGCUGCACAGGCCCGACCCUGUCUAGAACCUAUGUGAAUGUAUUUGUAUUGUAUUACUCACCAAUUAAUUUGUAAUGAUCUGGUUAGUGCACUGAAAAUAGAUAUCUUUUAAAUGGUUAUUGAAAAUUCUCUGGGUUUUCCCUCCCAUUGUAGCGCUGGAUAAAGCAAGCCUUGGAAGAAGGGAUGACUCAGACUUCAUCUGUGCCCCAAGAGACUAGAACACAGCACCUAUACCAAAGUAAUGAGACUAGUAAUUCUUCUAGUAUCUGUAAAGACAAUGCAGGUAUGUAUCUGAUCCUUUUCUAAAUUUGAUAAGAACAGUCACCAUUUGAGGUUCACAGUGAAAUUUUCAGUGUUGGUUCUCUGAUAUAAAAAGAAAUAGUGUUUUCUCUAAAUAGUUAAUUUACAUCUGUCUUUACAGAGGAAGAGAAAGAUCUCGAGUCAGGGAUCAGUUUUCCCAGGACGACAAAGAAGGAACUAGACAGUGUACAGAUAACAGCAGAAAUGGUUAUAAAAAAGGUUAGAUACGUUUAACGUAGUAAGUUUAGGAAAUAUUUAUUUGUACUUAUAAGGGGAGACAGUAGAAAGUGGUGGAACACUUUCAAGGGGAACAGUUGGAACUGUUAAGUGGCUUGUUGGGUGGGAUCUGACUAAAGGGGCAGGAAAUAAUGGCAUCCUUGAGGAAUCAUUGUUGUUUUGUUUUUUUUCAAAAGAACUUGCCUCCCAGAACUAUAAAAUUUCUGACUAAGACAUAAAGAUAUGGGCCAAAUGGCUAUGAAAAAAGGACCUGAUCAUUGUCUUUUACAGUGUUCUGUUUCAGACUUCUAGCUGAAAUUAUUGGUAUAUUGACUUAUGAUAUCCUAUUUGUUUGUUUACUUAUUAGACAGGGUUUUUCUGUUUAAUCUAAGCUGGUAUCAAACAUCCUCUCUGGUACUCAAAUUCGGAUCAGUUUUCUGAAUAUUGUAUAAUCAAAAAAUGCUGUAACUGGAUACAAUGAUACUUAGGAUCCUAGUACUUGGAAGACAAAAUAAGACAAGAGGAUUGCUGCAAGUUCAAGACCCUCCCUGUCUCAAUAAGAAACAACAACAACAAAAUUUACCAACACAGAUUAGUUACUAAAACUCACUUUUAGUUUUGCUUUGGUUUAUUGGAUAAAGAGAGGUGUUUGUGGGGUUUUUUUUUUUAAACCACCAUUUUUUGACUUGCUGAGUAUUUAUGAAGCUGAAUUUAAAAGAAUUUUGUAAGUAAUUGCUUUAUAUUAAAAUUCUUAGGUUUUAAUCUGUUCACCUAAUGAGACAGAUUCAUUCAGGUUUAGUUUAAUAAAAAUUUUAAGGCAGCUUUGAAUUGUGUCAACUUACAACUUUAAGAGUAGCUGAAUUAGACUAUGGUGUGUGUAUGUGUGUGUGUGCGUGCAUGUACGCGCCUUCCUCUAUCUGGUGGGUAUGUUGCACACAUAUACACAUAUAUAGUUGAUUUGGAGAACAGACUGCAUGUCCUGGCUGUCACACACUCAGAGAGAACUUGUCCUUGUUACUACAUACCCUCAGUGGAAUAGAAUUAGCACUGUUAGUCAUCAACUUGUAUUACAUUUCUAUUCUUCUCUCCAGCAAGCUGUGAGAAACAUUGUUAGAAAACACCUUGCCCUUAAGUAUCAAUAUAAACCAAAGGAAAGCAUUACAUAAAGAGAUUAAUGGCACAGAAUUACUGUUUGUUGAGUUUUAAAAGUUUUGUUUACAACAAUAUGGAGGAAAGUUGAUGAAGAAAGUGAAGAGAUGUGUUGACACAGAUAAAAAUAUCAAAUAGACCUUUAUUUGAGGUCUAGUUUUCUAUCCUGUGUGAUGUUACUAAAUGUCUCUGAAUUUCACCUGUAAGUGCCUGCUUCAUAAGGUUAAUAAGAAAUUGAAUAAUUUUUACUAAGUGCUUAGUUCAGUAUCAGACCCAUAUCUGAAUUACGGCUGUCAUUCUACAUAGAAUACUCUUUCUUGUCACAUAUGAACUACCUAGAUUAAAGAUGAUAAAUUCUUCCACUGGUGUGGUUGUGCUUAAUGUGUACAAUACCAGUAAUCAAGACUGAUGGAAAAAUCUUGGUUUUCAGGCCAGUCUGGGCUGUAUAGUAACUCUAUCAC
rnacentral:lncRNA from 1 species